rnacentral:sRNA from 2 species
GAUUCGAGCGAAAGCGAGAAAGCGUUGCCGCAGGCAACGACCCGAAGGGCGAAGCGCGCAGCGCUGAGUCAUCCUUCCCCCACCACCA